GACGAACGCUGGCGGCGUGCCUAAUACAUGCAAGUAGAACGAAGUUGCGAACGGGUGGGUAACGCGUCCGGAACUGCCUGGUAGCGGGGGGUAACUAUUGGCAACGAUAGCUAAUACCGCAUACUACCCGAUGGACCUGCGUUGUAUUAGGUAGUUGGGGGGGUAACGGCCCACCAAGGCAACGAUACAUAGCCGACCUGGGAGGGUGAUCGGCCACAAUGGGACUGGGACACGGCCCAGACUCCUACGGGAGGCAGCAGUAGGGAAUCUUCGGCAAUGGGGGGAACCCUGACCGAGCAACGCCGCGUGAGUGAAGAAGGUUUUCGGGUCGUAAAGCUCUGUUGUUAAGGAAGCGGUACUUAACCAGAAAGGGACGGCUAACUACGUGCCAGCAGCCGCGGUAAUUC
rnacentral:rRNA from 1 species